UGUUGUUGCGAUUGUAAUCCUGCUCAGUAGGAGAGGAACCACAGGUUCAGACCACUGGUGUAUGUGCUUGGCUGAGGAGCCAAUAGGGUGAAUCUGUGGGAUUAUGACUGAACGCCUCUGUGAUAGGAAUUUUAUGGUCUUAGAUAUAUGGUAAUGUUCAUAAGUGUACCAACCAAGCACAUACAUACAUAGAUAAGAACAGGAAGGCCAACCUGGAACCAUUUUGAUUCCUAAACUGACCAAAUGUUUUCUCUGCAAGGUCAAAGUGGGAAACCUCCCCAUUGUCUCUUUCCUCACAAAUCCUGUCUUAAGGUCACAUUUAAGAUAUGAAUAGGGUGUGAGCCUGUGACCUGGCCCAGGAACUAAGUAUUUAUCAUUACAAAAGACUGGCCAGGCUGCCCAGGCAAUCCAACCAAGUAACCUGCCAGACAGGAAAUAAACAAGGACAGGAGAAAAACAACAUUCAAAUUUCUGUUUAGACCGCCUUUUCUGUGAUGUUUCUGGGGGUGGUCUUGAUCUACAGGGUGGCAAUUUCAAAAGUCUUUAUAAGGCCUUGCACACCAUUUUUCUGGGUCCCUCCUCUCUCCUGCAGGUGAGGGGAGCACCCUGUUGCAACAGAUCAAUAAAGAUCAAGCUUACUAGCUGCUUUGCUUCUCAAUAUUCUCUGGUUGGCCUCUGUUAUUCUCUCCUACCAAUAGGGAACCUAUGUAAGGACUCUAUAUGGGCUCUUGGAUACCCCAUAAGGGAAAAGGGCAAUUUUUGUUUACAACACCUCUAAGCCAGAAUCCCCCCUAAACGUAAUAAUGCCGCAGCACUGCAAAGCCACAGUUGGCCUCAGAUAGCCAGUCCGCCGUGCGUGCAUGCACGUGUGGCGGCCUGGUGCGGAGAGCUGUCCGCACUGCAUGUUCGUGGGGAACCCAGUGCUAAAUCAUUCAUAGACGACCUGAUUCUGGGUCAGGGUUUGGUACGUAGCAAAGCAGUUCCCUUGCUGCGAUCUAUUGAAAGUCAUCCCUCGACACAAGCUUU